AGAGUUUGAUCAUGGCUCAGAAUCAACGCUGGCGGCGCGCUUAACACAUGCAAGUCGCACGAGAAAGUGGAGCAAUCCAUGAGUACAGUGGCGUACGGGUGAGUAACACGUGGGUGAUCUACCUCUUAGUGGGGAAUAACCCUGGGAAACCGGGGCUAAUACCGCAUAAUCCUGAGAAGGGAAAGCAGCAAUGCGCUGAGAGAGGAGCCCGCGGCCGAUUAGCUAGUUGGCAGGGUAAGAGCCUACCAAGGCAGAGAUCGGUAGCCGGCCUGAGAGGGCACACGGCCACACUGGCACUGAAACACGGGCCAGACUCCUACGGGAGGCAGCAGUGGGGAAUCUUGCACAAUGGGGGCAACCCUGAUGCAGCGACGCCGCGUGAGCGAUGAAGCCCUUCGGGGUGUAAAGCUCUUUCGGCAGGGAAGAUGAUGACGGUACCUGCAGAAGCAGCUGCGGCUAACUACGUGCCAGCAGCCGCGGUAAUACGUAGGCAGCGAGCGUUGUUCGGAGUUACUGGGCGUAAAGGGUGUGUAGGCGGUUCUUUAAGUUUGGUGUGAAAUCUCCCGGCUCAACCGGGAGGGUGCGCCGAAUACUGAGGGACUAGAGUGCGGGAGAGGAAAGUGGAAUUCCUGGUGUAGCGGUGAAAUGCGUAGAUAUCAGGAGGAACACCGGUGGUGUAGACGGCUUUCUGGACCGUAACUGACGCUGAGACACGAAAGCGUGGGUAGCAAACAGGAUUAGAUACCCUGGUAGUCCACGCCCUAAACGAUGCAUAUUUGGUGUGGGUCAUUCAGUUGAUCCGUGCCGGAGCUAACGCGUUAAAUAUGCCGCCUGGGGAGUACAGUCGCAAGGCUGAACUCAAAGGAAUUGACGGGGCCCGCACAAGCGGUGGAGCAUGUGGUUCAAUUCGACGCAACGCGA
rnacentral:rRNA from 1 species